UGGGGGAUAUUGCACAAUGGGCGAAAGCCUGAUGCAGCGACGCCGCGUGAGGGAAGACGGCCUUCGGGUUGUAAACCUCUGUCAUUCGGGACGAAUUAGAUGACGGUACCGAAGAAGGAAGCUCCGGCUAACUACGUGCCAGCAGCCGCGGUAAUACGUAGGGAGCGAGCGUUGUCCGGAAUUACUGGGUGUAAAGGGAGCGUAGGCGGGAAAGCAAGUUGGAAGUGAAAUGCAUGGGCUUAACCCAUGAGCUGCUUUCAAAACUGUUUUUCUUGAGUGAAGUAGAGGCAGGCGGAAUUCCUAGUGUAGCGGUGAAAUGCGUAGAUAUUAGGAGGAACACCAGUGGCGAAGGCGGCCUGCUGGGCUUUAACUGACGCUGAGGCUCGAAAGCGUGGGUAGCAAACA
rnacentral:rRNA from 1 species